rnacentral:pre_miRNA from 1 species
CGCUGGAUGCAGAGGUUUAUCGAUCGACUCAUGCUUUUCAAACCAAAAAUAUUCACAGGAAUUGAUCGAUGAACCGCUGCCUCCAGC